AAAGUGCGAAAAGUCGCGUGACAUGCACUGGUCGUGAAUCAUCGAGUUCUUGAACGCAGCUUGCGCCGCAGCCUGUGUAGGGAUGCGGCAUGCCUGUUUGAGCGUUGUCUUUUUCGUCUGUCUCGCGGCAGGAGCAUGGGUGUGCCAGUGGCACGCCUGAAAUCGGUGGACGGUGCGUUCUGUGAAUUGCGAGCGCACGCCGUCGUAUCAACUACCAACCUCAAAUCAGGCAGGAAGACCCGCUGGACUUAA
rnacentral:misc_RNA from 1 species